UUGAGGCCGCUUGGUUCAAGUGUCUCUGGGGGACUGUGUGCGUGGAACUGGUUUGGGUAGCAUGGGAACAGCCAGGCUCAGUCUGGGAAAGGAAGCAGGCUGUCCAUUGCUGUUGCGCAAUCCAAUUAGCUCUGAGUUGCACAGAUAAGAAACUGGACCAGAUCACCACAGAGCCUAUUUGUGACCAGUUGUGCAUCUGUUAGUUGGCUGGCAAACAAUUUGAAGCGUCAGCACAGGUUUUACUCAAAGCUUUUACCAGGGAUCUACAGGGAAGGGAAAACACUACUUUAAAUAACCACAUACAAGCUGAGUGUGGAGGAGGAAGUGAAGAAAAUUGGUUUGACCAGCUGGGCAAAGUGUGACUGUGCAUCUGGACAUGUCAGAUACCACAAACUGAGACAACAAACAUUUUAGAGAAAUGGUGUUGACUGCAUACUUGCUGACACUUAUCUUCAUCCAGACAGGGCUGUCUGUGAAAUUUAUUGUCCCACCAUGUGACAAAAACACAUUUGAUAGCGAUGUUCACAUCUGCCUGUCAGACUUCAACAACACCAUGGAGACGAAUAGCUAUCACGACAGAUGCCCGUGGCCGACUGUAAAACGCGACUACAACGAACUGAAGCUUUGUGUGGAUAACUCGGCAAACAAGACUUGGUGUAAGGGUCACAGAUUUCUGGUAGAUGAGGUCUUCUUGGGGAUCCAUGAGAAAUACUUUUUGCUCUGUGGACAGGUCCACGACCCCCCACUCACCACUCUCAUCUUUUUAAUAGCACCUUGUAUCAUUAUGACAUUCUUCCUGCCUCUUCUGUGCCAAAAACUCACCGCCUGGGACAUAGAGAUGCCCGGCAAAUUGGGGCUCUGACGUGCUGAGCUGACAAAGGAAAAUUGCAGUAUUUUUCAACGUAUUUUAUCUGUCACCAUGUAUACAACAAGAAUAUUUUUUCUGUUUUGUUGUUUUGUUCUGUUUUAUGCACAAGUACAGGUCACCUGUGUUUUGGUGCUCAGAGCGCAAUACACAAUCACUGUGGUUGCGUAGAUAAAAGAAAGAAAAAUUGAAGAAAAAAACAAGUGUAACUUGGUUAUCCAGUGGAGGGUUGGGAGGACAAUUUUUCAUUCUGAUUGGCAAACAUAAUUAUUUGAAUCAGAGUACACAGACAAAGAGCUAAAUCAAAUUAGAGGAAAGAGGAAGAAUGGCACCCAGCUGGAUCAAACUGGUAUCCCAACACAUAAUAAGCAACAGUGUUUAUAACGCCUAAAGCAAUCAAAGCCUUUCAUAACAUUUUUAAAAAAUGAUACCUAUGUUUGAGUUGAAUCAUUGUAUACAUGAGUCGUAAAAAAUGCUUUUACUAGAGAUGAAUAGGCAGUUAGUUUGUUUAGCUGGCCAAGACGUAGAAUCCUAUGCUGUUAGCAACAAUAGCUAAUCCAGAGGGCUGUUUUCUGUUUGGACUUUGGGUUGGACCUAAAGACGAGCGUUUGAAAGGACUUACGUAGAACUGAAGUUUACUCUGCUCACUCCAAUAUACUUUGUUUUGCUGGAGUCUGGUGUUUCCCAAAACGUCAAUGAGGUGGCAAGUGCAAAGUUGCAUGAGUCAUAUUGAAAACAAUUAUGAGAAUAAGACCCAGGUUGAAAAGCACUGCAAUUGUCCUUUAAAUAACAGAUACAUUAAUACACACAUACAAACACAGACCAAAAUACAGUAUACCACUCCACUACAGUCUGUUAAAAGUACAUAUUUUAGUAGGUAAAAUACACCUUUAAGAUGAUUACUAAACAGAGUGACCAACAUGAGUUUUUGAUAUUAUAUCUGGAAUAUUAUUAUGUAAGAGUCCAAUAGUAAUAUCCACUAAUAUCUAAUAUGUAUGGAUCUUAUAAUUUGCAUACUGAAACAUGACAUUGUAUGAUAUCAAAGGUGCAAGACAUGAUUGGCCGAUAUUAACUCCAAGGCAUCAUUCAAACUAAUUAUUGGUGUAGCCCAGUUUUUCUACUCAAAUGUCAAAUGUUCUAUAUCUCUCAGUGGCUGGAUGUGUCUUUUUGUACAUCAGCAAGCAUUAAACAUAUCAUGUACCAGCAAUCACAUUUUAGUAAAGGAAGUAAAGAAAACAUUCUCAAAAACAUUCUCACUGCGGGUAAUAAAUAUGCUGUAUAUUUGCUCACUGUUUCCGAACUUCACAGAAAGCUUUAAGUGAUAAUCCACCCAUCUCAUGUUUUGACUAUCAAAGACACACUAUCUGAAGGCUUGAAAUAUGCAUGUACACUUACAGUACUGCCUUACAGAAAACAGCAGCUGUGGACAGCUUGAGUUGAUGUCAGAGAAAAAUUUACUUUUAGAUUAGAUUGACUUUAUCAUCGACCUCAGUGGAAAAAUUUUUCUUUGGCUUCUACCAAAGUACAGUGAAAGUGCUGACACUACACAUAGCACAACACACAGUUAAAACAUAAAAUAUAUACAACAUACAACAGUGCAAAUGGGCAGGUAGCAGCAGAUAGGUAUAAAUAAUACCAGAGAGCAGAUCUUAUAUAAUAAUAACAAGUGUUCCCUGAUGCAGUCAUUCUUCGUUGGAUGCCUGUAUGGCAUAGGGAAUAAAAGAUGUCUUGUAUAUGUUCCAGCUGGCCCUUGGGGCCCUGAAUUGACAGUCAGAUGGGAGCAGCUCAAACUCUGAGUGUAGUAGGUGUGAGGUGUCUGUAGUUAUACUGUAUGUUCAGCCUUCCUGUGUACAGAACUAGCCAAUAUAUCACAGAGUUGUUUUUGUGACUUGCCAAUCACCUUCCCUUUAAUGUUAACAAUUUUGGAGAGCUUGUUUUUUUGCUUUAUUGUCUAAAUACUUUGCUGUGAAUGUCUGAACUUUCUGGAACUCUUUGUUUUAUCAUGUAGUAGACCCCACCCACCUGGCACCUAUAGUUAGGAAAAUCAAACCUUCACAACUACACUGUCUCACACUGACUUCACUCCAAAAAUGUAUGUGACACCUGAAUUAUCUGUAUUGUAUUUUUAAUGUUUCUAAUCUGACAGAAAAAA